UAGAAGCACCAUUGACAUAGUUAAUUAAACAAGCAUUUAGCAAGUUAGAAACAUUCAAGUACCAUCAGGCCGCAUUAAUCUUUUCCUUAACAGUGGGUUGUGGUCCUGUUUAAAACAAUAAUAAAAUAUCAGAAAUAUACAAGCUUGAUAAGGUUUUGCCUAUGUUAGCAAAAUAAAACAAGGAGAGAAAGGAAGAUUGAAACAAGAAAAGCAGAAAGACCCAGAAAGCAGGAAGACGUUAAAACAUACCUUGUAAAAUUUGGGUGUCAUUGGGAAUCCAUGGAAAAAGCUAAAUCCAAGAAGAUGCCCCCACUCAUCUAUAGAGACAGUUGAUUUGUUUCCUUCUAAAACCGAGAAGAUGCGCCGGAUAUUGGGAAACUAGGGUAAAAAUUUUGGGGGAGAAGAAGUUGGGGGAAAUUUGAGGGAGAAGAAGUUGGGGGAAAUUUGGGGGAAAUCGGGGAAAUUGACUUUGGCAGAGAGUAAAGCAAUUUCGGACCACACAGAAACGACGCCGUUUUAGUUAAAAAAAUUUAGAUUUUGUGGCGUUUUCAUAAAACGCCACUAAUAAAAAUAACAACAAAGUAUAAAACGACAGCAUUUUGCUUCCAUGGAUAAUUGUGGCGUUUUUCAAUAAAACGCCGGUAAAUUUUAAUAUCAUUUAGCCUUUAUAUUUUUAUAAUAUUAUUAAUUAAUCAAAAUACUUAAUAUUAUUAACACUAAUUAAUCAAAACUCUAUACCUUAAACCAUUAAACUAUAUCCCUAUAACCUUAAUCCCUAAAGUAUAUCCCUUAAACCCUAAACUAUAUCCCCUAACCAUAAACCACAAAAUAAUAACCCCUAAGCCUUAACCACAAAAUGUAUAGAUUAAUCAUAACCUUAAACUAUAUCUCUUGAUCCUUAAACCACAAAAUAAUAACACUAAUUAAUCAAUACUCUGAACCUUAAACCAUUAAACUAUAUCCCCUACUAAAGUACCGGCCUAAACUAUAUCCCCUAAACCUUAAAC
rnacentral:lncRNA from 1 species